UCAUUACCAAGUUUACGAGUCAUGCUAACCUUAUAAAUACCGAGACCCUUCGACACCCUCAUGUCAUCCUCGAAAUCAUCUCACACUUUCACAGCCGAAACCCUUGCCGGAAGCUUGGAGCUCACAACCCGGAAGACCGCAGUCCUCUGUGAAGAACCGCCGCCGCCGGAGCUAUUGCCGUCGCCGGAGAAGACGACCGAAGCUCGACCUUUCGGUAUGCAAAACAUGUUGUUCAUUCUCUGUCUUGCUCUUUGUUCAUUAUAAUCAACUAGAAACUGGGUUGGGUUAACUGUGGGUUAAUGAAGAAUAAACGAAGCUCGGAGAAAACGCACCGGAGAUCACCGGAACUGACUCGCGUUGUGCUCGGGUAAUCUCUUGCACACUCUUGGAUAAUCUUUCUACUCCUCUUCUUUACCAAGAAAUACGCAACGCAAUCAAAGGUUGAAAGUACAGGAUUCAAGAAUCAAGCUAGGAUGAACUCUAGAAACCCACAUAACCUUUGAAUUAUUGUUGAACAAUAUGUUGUAUUGUUUGGAACUAUGUAUCUCACUUUAGAGUUUAUGAAAUGAAUUAAAUAAAUUAUUGUCACAUUUAGUGUUAUGUUGUUUUGAGCAAUUUGUUCGUCUCAUCCCGAUGUUUCCGCCAUCGGUUGGGGUGUGA
rnacentral:lncRNA from 1 species